rnacentral:sRNA from 1 species
UGUCACAAUUGCCAUGCUUUUGUGUGAGCUUCUGCCUUCUGGUGUCUGGAAACCACUUUUCUUGAAAGUCUUUUACCACCUCCGGCUCUCGGACCCUGUUCUGCAAUGAUCCCUGAGCUUGGGGGUGAGACGUAAAUGAUCGGUUUGGAGCUGAGGACUCUACAGUCUUUAGUUCCCUGCACGUCACCCCCAGGUUGAAAAGAUGUCAGUUGUCCUGGCAAGUUCUGUGUCAAGUUGACAGACACUAGAGUCAUCAGUGAAGAGGGAGCCUCAGUUGAGAAGAUCUUGGAUAAGAUGGGGCGCCUGCUUAGAGCCCCAGAGGACCAGGCUAUCAUUGAGAGAGCAACAGAGAGAGCCCGUGUAGGAGGGUCACUGAGAAAGAUGAAUUUAAAAUACAGAAAAGGAACGAGCAAAAAGAUCAUUUACCAGCUGGAAGAUCUGCGGUCAGUGAAAAGAUUAACGGCAGAUUUUGGCAAAAUCGUUAUGGCUUCACGACAGAUGGAGGGACAUUUUUAAAAAGUCUGGCAAAGGGUCACUCUCCGGAAACAGAUGCCCAAUACAUUCGUGUUUCUACCGAAGAUGGGCCUCUGUUGGAGAGUGAGCACCUUCAAACUAGAAAUCAGCACCAGUCUUCUACCUAUAGCGCAGACCUGGUAUUUCCAAAGCUGUAGUUGGCCAGCCAGGGUCGCUUUAAGUAAAUGCAUGAUCUUUAAUUCACUUCUCUUUUUAAAGUUUGCUCUCUGUUCCAAAUAUUCCAAUUUUGAAAAACAGACUAAUGUUGGACAGUGUCUUUGAGAAUCUCUAUGGGUCUUG